rnacentral:misc_RNA from 1 species
CGCUGCGAUUCGCUGAUAAUUUAUGUAUACGUUUCAUGUCAAAUAACUUCCCGUAAGAUACACUUUGAUAACAUUUUAGUCGCUGUAAGUUUACAAUGUGGAAUAAAGUCGUUUAACGCUGUCAUUAUGUUGGAGGAUGUGACAAAUGCGCGCAGUUUUUCAAAGCUGUUUCUUAUUUUUGUGAAUCUGCAUUUUGUGAGUAAAGGCUUUUUAAGUUCUGAAGUUGUCGAAAAGAAUAUCUCAAAGCGUCGAAAUUUCAAAAAGCGAAAAAAAUUUCAAAUUGAAAAUUGUGUGAUAUUACUUCUUUUUAUUUUUAUUGGCAUAACUCUCAGUCUAGUAUCAUUUGUGGGAUAUGUGCUAAAACAUGAACCAGACUCAGUUUUCAGGGAAAGAAUUAAAGAAUUUCCAGUGCCUUGUGAUGAUCUCUCUUUGAGUGCGGACGAAGAUUUCCUAACGUUUGAUGGCAGAAAUGGUGAUUUGAGAACUUUUGUUGAUGAAGAAGGAAAAUAUAUAUGCAGCAAAAGGAACAUAUCAGAAACGAUUAAAACGGUCGUUGAAAGAAAAGCCAGAUAUCGACAAGCACAAGGCUUAGACGAGCAAUAUCUUUCCUGCGGAAAUAAAAGUUUUGCGGAGAAGUCUGGAUAUCGGACAGUUUCCUUCACUGAAAUAUCAAAACAUCAGAACUAUUCAGAUAAAAAUUCUGAUAUAAAACUUCAAUGGAAUAAUCGUCCAGGAAAAUGCCAUAUUGACCCUUCAGUCCAAUACGAUAAUGGGGAGGUGACCAUACCAGAAGGACGGACAUACUUCGUGUACGCAUCUGCACACUUCAACAUAAGCCGACAGGAAAACAUUGGGAUAAGGAAAUUUGGGAGACCGCAAAGAAUUUCAAUCCGAAUUUGUAAAAGCGUUUAUGGAUAUGAGCGAACACUUCUUGGAAGGACAGAGUUGUACAAUAUGACCAACACUGAAAACGUUGUUUCAAGUUUAAGUAUCGGAAGUCAUUUGGAAUUGUCACGAGAUGAUAAAAUAUACGUCCGUGUGAGAAAUGCAAAUAAAAUAAUACAUGACUCAAAGGGCAAUACCUUUGGACUCUUUCCACUGUAGAUUUGAAAUGAAAAAAACUUUCAACUUCAUCAAAUUGAUUUGUUUCAGAUUUGCAUUCAUGUUGAAACUACGUCAAUAUACGCCAAACUACAACAUUUGAGGAAUGCUAUCGAACACUUUUCUGGUGAUAGGCGGUGAGGCAUCUUAGAAAAAUGCCUUUCUAGACUGAAAUACUUAAUCCGUCCCUACUUAGGUUGAAAAUAUAAAUGUUUGUUGUGUGAAGACAUAUUUGUCAGUUUCUGUAUUCUGAGUAGAGGAAAAAAGAAUCUCGCUGACUGCAUAGAUGCUUCCACGUUUUCAUGUAAAUAACCAACUAUUAAUAGCAGUAGUGUUAUAGUUUUCUCGACUGAUAAGGUUUUACGUAAUAACUAUAAAUUGUUAGUUUCUCGCACAAUAAUUGGAAUUUUAUCAAACCAAUUAAGUCUAACAAAAACCACUUCCCCCACUGACACUUUUUCAAUAAGUGUUUAUAUAUGAAACAAUCGUGACUGUUGAUAAUGAGGUCAGGAACACAAGGAAAUAUGAGCUGUUAAAUACUCGCAAGAUUACUUAACUGAAUACAAGGUUAGCUUCUUAAAUACCCGCACGAUUUACUUCUUUGUCUUAACUGGAUACAUGGUUAGCAUUUUAAAAUACUCGCACGAUUUACUUAUUUGUCUUAGCUGGAUACAUUGUUAGCAUUUUGAAAUACUCGCACGAUGUACUUAUUUGUCUUAGCUGAAUACAUGGUUAGCAUUUUGAAAUACUCGCACGAUGUACUUAUUUGUCUUAGCUGGAUACAUGGUUAGCAUUUUGAAAUACUCGCACGAUGUACUUCAUUGUCUUAGCUUGAUACAAGGUUAGCUUUUUAAAAUACUCACACGAUUUACUUCAUUGUCUUAGCUUGAUACUAGGUUAGCUUUUUAAAAUACUCGCACGAUGUACUUCAUUGUCUUAUCUGGAUACAAGGUUAGCUUUUUAAAAUACUCACACGAUUUACUUCAUUGUCUUAACUUGAUUCAAGGUUAGCUUUUUAAAAUACUCGCACGAUUUACUUAUUUGUCUUAACUGGAUACAUGGUUAGCAUUUUAAAAUACUCGCACGAUUUACUUAUUUGUCUUAACUGGAUACAUGGUUAGCAUUUUAAAAUACUCGCACGAUUUACUUCUUUGUCUUAGCUGGAUACAUUGUUAGCAUUUUAAAAUACUCGCACGAUUUACUUAUUUGUCUUAGCUGGAUACAUUGUUAGCAUUUUGAAAUACUCGCACGAUGUACUUAUUUGUCUUAGCUGGAUACAUUGUUAGCAUUUUGAAAUACUCGCACGAUGUACUUCUUUGUCUUAGCUGGAUACAAGGUUAGCUUUUUAAAAUACUCACACGAUUUACUUCAUUGUCUUAACUUGAUUCAAGGUUAGCUUUUUAAAAUACUCGCACGAUUUACUUCUUUGUCUUUACUGGAUACAAGGUUAGCUUUUUGUAUAAGCCAGUCAAUGCUAAUGCUCAACAUAACUGAGAUAGAAAGAUUUGUGAAGUAUAUGUACUGGUACCAUCACCCAGUUCGAAAAAAGGAAACAACGUUCAUUUAAAAGGAGUCUCUUUUAGUUUAUGUAAUGAUAUAGCUGGUUCUGAGCUUGACAUUUCAUUUGCAAUUGCUCGCACAGAAAGCAAGGAAAAAUAACCUCCAUCAAACUCGAAAGCUUUGGGACUGGCUUGAAAAAGGGCAGCGAUAAGAAAUAAGAGCCACGUUCUAACAGGCGCAGUCCCGUUAAAACGGAACAACAGUGUAUUUAUGCACAAGACCCUGACUGAUAUGCACAUAACUACACGUUGACAAAGCUCAACAUACAGAAAUAGCGAACAAAUACUGGAGCAUUCAAAUUGUCAGCGGCAAGAAACAACAAUGGGUAGUUUGUUAUAUUUACCUGUGCACUUUAUCUGAAACACGAAUAGACAUCUAUUAAUCUAAAUUACAAAUAGAAAUCUGAAUUUAAUUAGGUGCGUUUUUAACGCUUUUGAUCGUUACCUUAGAUAUGAAAUAUAAGUUUUAUGUUUUUAAUGCUUUUGCUUGGCCUAAGAUAUAUGUUUGAACGAUAUAAACUGUAAAAAGCACAAUCACUGGCAUAUUUCUUACAAAAGGACAUCAUGAUUGUUUUAAAUGCUACUCUACAUAUAAUCAAAUUUUAAAAGAAAAUUGAACCGAACUUUUUUUGGUGUGUGUGUGGGGGUGGGGGGAAGUAACAUAAGACUAGUUGCACUAUUGUCGCUUGAACAGGGGAAUUAAAAACAACUGAGCAUUAUGUUAUAAACUACUCGUAAGAUUUACUUCUUUGUCUUAACUUAUUACAAGGUUAGUUUUUCUGUGACCUGUUUAAUGUUCAACAUAACUAAGACAGAAAGAUGUGUGAAAUAUAUGUACUGGUAUACCAUCACUCAGUUACGCAAAAAGGCGAAGCAACGUUUAUUUAGAAAGAGUCCCUUUGGUGUAAAAUACAGCCUCUAGCAAACUCGAAAACCUGAGGGUUUUUCUUCCCAAACAACAAUGGGUGAUUGGUUACCUGUGUACUUAACCUGAAAUACGAAUACUUUCGACAAAUGAACAGAAAUCUUAAUUUAUCUAGGUGCAUUUUUCAACGCCUUUGGUCGUUACUUUUGACAUGAAUUAUUUGUUUUAUGUUUUAAAUGUUUUUGUUAGGCGGAAAAUGUGUGUUUGAAAGAUCUAAACUGUAAAAAUCACUGCCCCUGGCACAUUUCUUACCGUAACGACAUCAUGAUUUUUUAAAUGGUAUACUCGUCGUAUGUUCAGAUUUUAGAAGAAAAUUGAACCGAACUACUAGUAACAAGGUAGAAGUAACAUAAGACCAAUUGCACUAUUGUCGCUUGCACAGGGAAAUUAAAAAAAUGUGCAUUAUACAUGUCAUUGACGAGAAAGUUUUAAGUUUAUUUAUUUGAUUUUAGAAUUUCAUGUUCAACUUGGUAGAUUUGUCCCAGGUACCUCUCAGAAAAAAGUUCAAACAUUGGCGGGUUCAAACACAGCAUUCUUCUUUAAGUCAGCCGCAUAGCUACAUUCAUAAGCUUGGUUUCAAACACAUAACAGCGAGGGGCAGUAAUUUGAAGACAGCUUUCACACCAAUAUUAUGUUCCAAAUAUUGAUAAUGACAUCGUUCUAAAUAUGGUUUCAAUUUUGAGAUUUACAUUUUACAAUUCUCAGUUGUCAGGUGCAAUCCAAAACAUAUUACUUUGUUAGUCUGGGUUACCUGCCCAUGUAACUUUGUUACCGGCACUAAGCAGUAGUACGCCUGGAACAAGACGAGCUCUUUGUUGUACAUUUCUGACAAACAGAUCUGCGUAGCUUUGAUACUUUUGUGCUGUUGUCGUUUAUUUCCGAUGUUUCGAGUCCUUACCUUUAUUUUGCAUUAUUGUAAAUAUAAUAGCUAUACAGCUGCCUACACAAUGACUAAACAAUUUAAAUAAAGAUUUGUGCGAUGAUUACGGAAAGAGAAGAAAGGUAAUUAGUUAAUUCCCUCUUUCCUUUCAAUUUAGACUGAUUAAAGUUCCAUUGUAUUGUUUGAUAUCCUACUCUUUGCACAUAUGUCACAUAAAUUCUCCUUGUGUUAGAGCGAACAAAGAAAUUUUCUCUUGUUCUUUUAUGUUCAUGACUUAGAACAAAUGCAAGACAUUCCAGACUAAUUGCAAGCCUCGUACAAAGCAUUAAAAAGCAAAACAGUU